rnacentral:rRNA from 1 species
AUUGAACGCUGGCGGCAUGCCUUACACAUGCAAGUCGAACGGCAGCGCGGGGCAACCUGGCGGCGAGUGGCGAACGGGUGAGUAAUAUAUCGGAACAUACCCUAGAGUGGGGGAUAACGUAGCGAAAGUUACGCUAAUACCGCAUACGCACUAAGGUGGAAAGUGGGGGAUUCGCAAGAACCUCAUGCUCAUGGAGUGGCCGAUAUCUGAUUAGCUAGUUGGUGAGGUAAAGGCUCACCAAGGCGACGAUCAGUAGCUGGUUUGAGAGAACGACCAGCCACACUGGAACUGAGACACGGUCCAGACUCCUACGGAGGCAGCAGUGGGGAAUUUUGGGACAAUGGGGGGCAACCCUGAUCCAGCAAUGCCGCGUGAGUGAAGAAGGCCUUC